AGAAAUUUAACCUAAAAAAGUCUUCUUUAAGAAGAAAAAAGAUGUGUGAGCCAAUAUGCAUUUCUUGUAUUCUGAUCUUAAAGUGUUUUCAUAUACCGCCAUCACAAAAUGUGGCCCAAAAUUUAUAACUCAAAAGAGUUGAUCAAUAAGAAUUUUUUUAUAUGCAUGUGGUAAAAUUUUAAGUAGCAAUAAUGGAGCUUACGAGCUUUUACCAACAUUUAAAUGAGGGGAACUUUUUGCAGUAUUCUGCAGUUCCGCAUGAGUUAUACACAGUAUUUAAUCUAUUGAAAUUUAAAAUAUGCUGUAAACAGCAGAUUGCUUUUCUAAAACUUCCAUAUAUUAUGUGAAAUGCAGUUUAAGAAGAAAGUCUGACCUCUGUAAGUUAAGUUCUUACAAAGGACAAUUAGCCAGAGUCAAUGAAGAGUCCCUAUGAAGAAUUGUUAAUCACUGGAUGAUCAUCUGACUAUUCCAAGACAAUUUUUGAUCUCAUUUUGAGGAGGACCAUCAUUAGUGCAAGUCUUUAGGAUCUCCUUUGUUGUUAAAAAAAAAAAUCUCUUGGGCCGGGGAUUUAGCUCAGUGGUUCUGCUGCCUUCCUCUCAAGCACAAGGUCCCGAAUUCGAUUCCCAGUACCCCCAAAAAAGAUCUGCUAAAGUACGUAAAUUUAAAGUAGGUUAAAUUAAAAUUUUAGGCAGGUUCAUUUAUGUUAUGUAUUAGGCCAUUUUCUUUCCUUUCACUUCUAAAUAUUUCACUUUCUGAAUACUGAAGCCCUUCUGGCUCAGAGUGAAAUAACUUAAUUAUCAGCAAUAGAUUGAUUCCAAGUGGAGAACUUAUUGUUUCCUUAAAAUGGCUCUUUCUCAUCUGUGAUGGUGAAUAUUUAUAAGUAUCCAGGUAGAGCGAUAUUGGUUCCUGAAAUGCCACAAAAUCCUUUAAGUAGUCAUGUUUAUAAUUUAGUGGCUAAAGCAUUCUUGAACUGUUUGUGGGGAGACAGCAAGAAUCACUCAGCAUAAUGUUUUGAUGACCAAAAAGGCUCACACCUGGGAGAUUAACUUGUCUUUAAUGCAAAAAUACUCUGCCACAUAUUCCUUAUUGAUUUCUUAGAAGUAUGACAUGUUUUCCAGAACCAUACUGAAUUUUCCUGAUUUCUGAUGGAGAAUUUGACAUACCAAGCAGUCUAUUCUUUCAUCCCAUUAUUUUAAAUAUAUUCAGCUUCUGUACAGCUUGUCUCUGCUUGAGAAAGCUUACCCUGUGAUACACGUAUGUACUUUGGAAGAAAAGAGCAGUCCAUGUGUUAAACAAAAUAAUUGUAUGUGAAGUAAACAAAGCCAGCAAUUUAAAAAAUUUCAGUGCCUAAUAAAGAUAAUUAUAGCUACAUUUGUUUGACUUAAGUCCCAUGCACUAUGCUAAGUUCUUUACAUAUUAUUUGAUUCCAAAGCAGCCCUAGGAUUUGGGUACCGUUAUUUCCAUUUGAUAGGUGAAAAACCUAAGACACAAACAGGAAAGUAGACCUGUCAAGGUGUAUAGCUGAUAAAAAGCUCAGGUCUAAAAUCUUAGUCUUUCUCAUUCACUCUUAUGUUCCAUUUAUUAUUUUCUUUAUGUAACAUUAAAUAGGUUCUUUACUUUGUUUUAUGUAUUCAAUGUGUGGCC
rnacentral:lncRNA from 1 species